rnacentral:misc_RNA from 1 species
UGUAUGUAGAUUGACAACAUGCAUAUUAUUCUGCCCAAACGCUUGCAGUUUUUGAUUUUUUAUGAAUCGUAAAAAGUACGGAGUGUAGGUUUUUAAAUAUGAGCAACUACCAUGUUGUAAAAACCACUUAAUUCGAUUAAUGUCAGAAAGUAAGUGUAUCUGUACGUGUAGCUGAGUCAUACAUACGUUGAUGAUAGUGAACUUAUUUUCGUGACUGGUCGGCAACACACCUAUACUAGAUCGGUUAAUAUUUACAUAUUCAGCACUAUAAUCGGGCACUCAUUCUCUUUGAUAACAUAAUGUCAAGGCUAUACGUGGUGAAUUGUUACCUUCGUAGUUCACAACUUUACGACGUUUUGAACGCAGUUGGUUUCAGCCCGUUGAGCCUAUCGCUUGUAUACCCACUUUCGUUAUAUCGACUUUUUGUAGCCAGCUUAGUGGCGGUAGAAAGUAAUGUGUUUUCACCCAUUUGGGCCGACGACAGGACCAGCCAUUGAUGGAACUUGCUGAAAAGGUGUUAAACUGUCUGAAUGUUCGAAAUUAUUGUUCACACUGCUACCGCUACUCGUCACUGUAUAAUUCAAGGUUGUCAGUUGUGUGCAAUCUAAUUCGUGUUCAGGAAGUUGGUCUGACGUGGUGCUGCUUCUUCGUUUGAACUGUAACAGACAAAAUGCCUUAAGUAGCAUUUGUAGGAAACAAUUUGAGUUCUGAAGUAACGCUAGGUACCUGGGGAUUCUCGGUAAUGUCAAAAUCUCGAUUGUCGCCAUUUAUAUUCCAUUGCGUCAGAAGAGGUUCCUUCACGCAAGAUUCAACAACGCUGGUGGAAUGACCAUGCUAUGAAAUAGGGGAAUUGUACCAACUAUAUCGAUGACUGUAAAAUACAUCAAUUCCUCAUUAUUCUGGUACAUACCAUAUCUACAUGAGAGUUCGUAGAUCUGGAUGACGGUGGAAAAAAAACUGCCAGUUCAAUUUCAUUCGUAGCUGCUGCUACGGGUACAUGUUGAGCGGUUGGAACAGAAUUUCUAUCUAUACAACAACCAUUUCCGUUUCGCACUAUUACCCGAUCUUUCAAUGUCUGCGAAGUUUCUCGAGAUGACUGGAUAUUUUCCCAUUUCUUUCUACAAUAUAUACUACUUAGGCAGAUGAUGAUGAAACAGGUGCUUAUGCUUACACCAACAAUUAUGCCUGAAACAAAAAUUGCCAAACGAUUCCACAUUACCAUUUUCCUCAGAAUUUUGUCCAACAACUGUGACGUUUAUGCGUUAAUUACCAAGGCUCUGAUCUGUUACUGGCUUAUAGGGUGAAGUUUUUCCAGGCAACGAAUUCGUAGAAUUUUUAGGGGCAUUCCCCGUCUGGAUCAUGAUUCUCUCUGAAGAUUUGCCGUACCCUGCAUUAGUAGCAGCUCGUACUUCGACGAAAUAUCGCGUGCUGGGUGUUAGCCCUGGUAACAUGGCGGUUGUCCUGUUUCCAGAUACAGUGACAUUUUUCCAUUGAUU